GGAGUGGCAAAGUACUGGCCACUUCCAGAUCUCCUGGUCCAGACACGCCACUUUGCCAGAUGGUAUGCAGCCGCUGCAGGGAGCCGAGCACACACUCCACCUCAGCACCGCAUCACACACAGCCUGGUCAUAAUAUCUGGGAGGAGGACAGCAGCACUUCGGAGGAUCCAAAAUCCCGCGGCAGAUGAGAGAUUGAUACAGACUUCCCACCCACUGCUUCGGCACAAGGCGGAGACUGAAAAGACGGCGGAGUCUGAAAAGACGGCGAACACGCAGCAUCUCUUCCACCCAGCGCCGGAUACCCGGGGCCCACGCGGGGACGCUCGCCGUGUCCGGCUCAGCCCGUGGGCAGCCCCCGGGGGCCGCGGUGGAGACGCUCCGCGCCGCCUCUGGUGCCCACCCCUCCGCUCCGCCCGGCGCGCAAGUUGCGCGGAGCCGCAGCCGCCACCGCCGCCACCUCCCUGCGGGAGCAAAGCCGGCGGAGUUUGCCCGGCCGGCGGGUGCCUCCCCUUCCUUCCCCUCCUAGCGGGUUUUAUUUUUUUCUCUUAUCUUUUUUUUUUUUUAAUUUUCCUUUUUUUUUUUUUGGAGGGGGAGCCGUGGCUGCUGCUUUGCGCUCCGCAGCGUGGACGCGUACAGACCGGUCCUCGGGGAAACAGCUCCCGGCGCUCCCACAAAAACUCCAACCCAAACAAAACACCCACUUGGAUAAUUAAAACGCCAACUCUCACUCCUCUCAAGGACUGUACUGUGGGACAUAUUAUGAAAUUACCUGAAGACUGACAGUUGCCGGUGGCAAAAAAAAGGCCCCUGAUGUUUUGGAAAUGAUGAAAUGUGUAUUUCCUUUCAUCUAGACCAGGGUGGUCGUGUGUGUGUUUUUUCUAUUAACAUUGUGGGAUUUUUUUGUUUUUGAGGGUGCUUUUUUAGUCAAUGUUUAUGUUUAGAAUAAGGAACUACUUUCUAUUAUGAGUGAGGAUCUAUGGGUAUGCCUACACUGUCACUUCCUUCACUUGUUCUCAAGUCUAUUCCUCCUGAUCAUCCAAACUGCAUCAAUGCUAGUUUGUUCCUGCACGUGGCUUUGGAGCAAAAUCAGCAGUGUCCUCCAAGAAAAUAGUCAGGUGUGGAUCUGGAAGUGAUCUGCUGAGGAGACCAUUUCAAAUAAGUAAAAUAGCUGAGACCAUACCCAGAUCUUUCUGCCCUACACUGUUUUCUCUAGUCUACUCUUCUCUGUCCUCUAGGGCUCACAAUCCCCCAUGCCAAAUCCACGGACAAUGCAACCUAUCUCCCCCUUGGAAUUAUGUUAUUAUAUCUACCAUUUGGGGGGGGUAAUUCCUCACACAAAUUCAGCUAUUUUGAACCAUAAAACCUCUAAAAUAGCAAUAACAUCACACCUGUUUUAGGUGUGAUGCAGUGUGGGCACAGCUGCCCCCACUGCUCUAAAUGGAGAUUAAUGUGUGGGCACAGGCCACACUCCCUCUUGAGCUGGGGAGCAGGGAUCCCUCAGCAGUACAGACAUCUUUUCCUGUUUAGGUAUGCUUGGUUCAGGCUUAAAUUUUCUGAUCACAUUUCAAAUUUCUACACUGACCUACAGAUACUAAGCUUUCUCCUGAGGAAACUGGAUAAGGCUCUUUUCACUAGGACAAGCCAGUUACUCCAAGACUGAUGACAAAGAAGCAAGAUGAGCAGACUAAGGUGCCUCUGUUAGAUUUAGGCACAAAAGUCAGUGGUAUUUUGAACCUUCUCUAAAGGUAGAUUUCUCCUAAAAAGACCUAUUUUGGGAUAUAAUUAUUAAGGAAAGACAAGUAAAGAAGGCUUAAGACUAGUCUGCCUCUGGCUGCAGCUGCCGUUAUGUAGUGGGCUCUCCAGAUCCCUAAGUAAAAGCAAAGAAUGGGAGCUUUCCUAAAGUGGAAGCUUUUUCUGGAAAAUGAAUUGUGCUCUUCAGUAAAGCAGUUACACAGUCCCUAGUGAACAACAGCCUGAGCUGUCUGUACACGAUAUUGUGACAGAAUUUGACAUUCGUUGUGGAAUUCUCAAUCCUUUGUAGCUACCUAAAAACUAAAUGUCUCAUCUUCACUUACUUAUGUGAUCUUUAAUCAGUGGCUCUGUGUGUAUAUUUCGUUUAAGAUGACCUAUUAAGCUGUCAUCCACCGUAGCUGUUUGACCUAUAACAGAUAACACCAUCAGGAGAAACAAAUGCUAAAAUGGAAACCAGCUUUACUUGCUAGUUAACAUUUCUAAAGGUUGCGGAGUGGCAAACACAAACUCACACAGAGUGCACAUUGACCAUGAUGGCACUCCUUAAUGAUCUCUUUUUAGUGCACUUUUGUUUCAUUUCCCUACUCUCAUCUAACAAGUUUCCCGUUCUUUAGCUUCAUCCUUGAUCUUGUACUGAAACUAUUUACUGGCUCUACUGGCAGCUUCCUAGGCUAAAGUUACACAUCUCUUGUUAUUUAUAACUAUAUCUAAGAAACAAGCAGAUCAGAUUUUAAAGAAGGCUCCAGGAAGAGCUCAUUGCGGCCUUCCAGACCUUGAAGAGAGCUUAUAAGAAGAAGGGAGAGCGACAUUUUACAUGGUCUGAAAGUGAUAGGACAAGGGGGAAUGUCUUCAAACUAAAAGAGAGGAGAUUUAGGUUAGAUGUUAAGAAGAAAUUCUUUACUCAGAGGGCAGUGAGGCACUGGCACAGGCUGCCUGGAGAAGCUGUGGAUGCCCCAUCCCUGGAGGUAUUCAAGGCCGAGUUGGAUGGGGCCCUGGGCAGCCUGAGCUGGUGGGGGGCAGCCCUGCCCACGGCAGGAGGUUGGGAAUGAAUGAUCCUUAAGGUCCCUUCCAAUCCAAGUUGCUCUAUGAUUCUGUGAUCAUGUUUAGUCAUUUUAGUCACUUCAAAGUACUGAAUCACUACAGCAGAACAAAAGCAAAAACAGGGUGCAUAGAUAGACUGAAACUUCAUCUGGUUUUAAUAUAAAAGUACCAGAAAAAUAUGAAUGAGGAAAACCAGGUAUUAGACAGUAAUAUUCACUGUUUUGGUUUUUUUCAAAGACAUUAUCCUUCCAAAUCAGUUGCUGUCUCAAUGGAGCAUAUCACUAGUUACCUGAGAGAUUUCUGUCUAUAGCAUAAUGUUUAAUUUCAGAAAAACAGUCAUUAAUUUCUAAUUUUAAGUUAGGGGAAAAAAGUUAGGAAAAAACAUAUCAAUCAUUAAUGACAACUAGCUGAAAUUCUGAAUGUAGCAAUAACUCAUUCUUUAAAAACAGAAGAGGAAAAUACAUCUUGCAGAUUUUCAGGGCUAUAUAGCACAACAUCCUGCUGUGAGCAGUACUUCUGAAUCUUUAAACACAAUUUCUUCCUUGGGUACUGGUGGGGAAGGGGGAGAAAGCAGAAGGAAACAGUUAGGUUGUGAAGUCAAAGAAGGUAAGAAAGAAGAGUCGGAGAAGCUGUCACUCACACAAGCAACACUCAAACCCAGUUAACUAGGUAACAGAAUUUUGCUGAGGUACAAAAUACAAAAUGUGCAAUGACUCUUAAAAAUUGAAAAAUAAAGAUCUUAACUAAGGGAUGCUAAACUGAAGA
rnacentral:lncRNA from 1 species